UUUUUUUUUUUUUUUUUAAGUUGUGCUAAUAGCAUGUAGAAGUUCCUGGGCCAGGGAUCAAACCCACACCACAGUGGUGACCCAAGCCACAGCAGUGACAAUGCUGGAUGCUUCAGCACUAGGCCACCAGGAAACUCCACCUAUUUUUCCUUUUUAAACAAAGAAGGCAUAGGUCUCAGAGUUUCACAAUGAUCAGAAACUGGUUAAGGAGUUCCCUGGUGGCUCAGCAGGUUAAGGAUCUGGUGGUGUCACUGAAGUGGCUCUGAUUACUGUGGUGGCACCGGUUCAAUCCCUGGCCCAGGAACUUCCACAUGCCACAAAGGCAGCCAGAAAAAAGGAAAAAGACUUUAAUAACAUUGUUUUGUUUUCAUUGUAUGGUUGUUCUUUUUGUUUUGUUUUUUUUUAAUGAUCACACUUGAAGCAUAUGAAAGUUUCCCUGCUAGGGGUUGAAUUGGAGUUGCAGCUCCUGGCCUACACCACAGCAACACCGGACCCUAGCCAUAUCUGUGACCUGUGCUGCUGCUUGCAGCAAUGCCAGAUCCUUAACCCACUAAGCAAGGCCAGGGAUCCACAUCCUCGAGGAUACUAUGUCAGUUUCUUAACCUGCUGAGCCAUAAUGAGAGCUCUGUAUGUAUUUAUUUUUAUGGUUUUGUUUUCUCAGGCAAGUGACAGGUUUUCCACUAAUGGUAAUGAUACAGAUUAUUUUAAAAUAAAUUUAAAAGUCACAGCUGCAGCUCAGAUUCUAUCCUUGGCCCAAGAACUUCCACAUGCCCUAGGGUUAGCUGAAAUAAUAAUAAUAAUAAUAAUAAUAANUAAUAAUAAUAAUAAUAAAUGCUUUCUAACUGAUGGCCUUACACACUACAUUUGCUCCCUUUUAAAUUACUUCCCCCACAGUAUUCAGAGCUAUCUUUCUAAAGCGCAAGCCUAAUUACACCACUCCAAUUAAAUCUCUUCAGCUUUUCCCACUGUCUUUAAAACAAAUGUCAAAAACUUUAAAAUGGCUUACAAAGCUGAGUCCGUCUACCUCUGAAGCCUCGUCUCACCCAUCUCUAUAUUCCAACUGUUUAAGUCUCUUCUUAGGUCCUCAAGUAGAACAAGAUCUUUUUACGCACUCUCUCUGUCCAUCAUUCCUCCCCAUCUCAUGGCCUGACUAACCUCUGCUCUUCUUUCAUGUCCAAAGUAAAACGUCACUUCCACAGAGAACCUUUUUUUGAACUGUCCCCAACAAUCAAGAUGCCCAUAGUGGAGUUCCCGUUGUGGUGCCAAAGAAAUGAAUCUGACUAGGAACCAUGAGGUUUCAGGUUCAAUCCCUGGCCUCACUCAGUGGGUUAAGGAUCCAGCGUUGCCCUGAGCUGUGGUGUAGGUGGAAGACGUGGCUCGGUUCUGGCAUUGCCGGGGCUGUGACGUAGGCCAGCAGCUGUAGCUCCAAUUUGACCCCUAGCCUGAGAACCUCCAUAUGCUGUGGGUGUGGCCCUAAAAAGACAAAAAGACAAAAAAAAGAAAAAAAGAAAAAAAAAUUUUUAAAGUGAAUAAUGGUGGCGUUCCCAUCAUGGCGCAGUGGUUAACAAAUCUGACUAGGAACCAUGAAGUUGUGGGUUCGGUCUCUGGCCUCGCUCAUGGGUUAAGGAUCUGGCAUUGCUGUGAGCUGUGGUGUAGGUCACAGAUGCAGCUCGGAUCUGGCAUUACUGUGGCUGUGGGGUAGGCCAGCAGCUGCAGCUCUGAUUUGACCCCUAGCCUGGGAACCUCCAUAGGCCACAGUGCAGCCCUAAAAGGCCAAAAAAAGAGAGAGAGAGAGAAGUCUACAGGCAGCUUUUGCAGACAGCUAUAUAAUGAGCCACAAAUUGUAAACCCUGGAUUCAGUUCCUACUCUCGGUCAUCCUUGCAUAUGUCAUCUCUGCCCUUUGAAAAUAUUUACUGGAGGCAUGAGAAUACACAGUCCUGGGAAAAUGGAAAUCUACCACUCACCACCUAUGUGACCUUUGGUAAGCCAGUGUUUUCAGCUCAAAGUGAGGUGAUUUCUAGCACAGUGGUUAAAAGAGUAAGUCUGGGACAGUCCACAAGGGUUCAGAUCCUAGCUUCGUGUUAGCUGAGUGACCACAGACAAAUUACACAUCAAUAAAGCCCCAGUUUCCUCAUCUGUGGAAAGAAAGGGAGGGGGUUGUAAAAACUACCUAUCUCAGGAGUAUGUGUGAAAAUUAAAUGAUAAAUAUAAAAGGCUGAGGACAGUG
rnacentral:lncRNA from 1 species